rnacentral:lncRNA from 1 species
UCAUGUAGCUUUGGUUAAAGGGAAUCGUCAGAUGGGAUUUCAGGUUAACCGAGUUACACAAUAUUUUCGUUCUAGUUGAAUGAGGUCGCCAGAUGGGAUCUCAGGUAAACCCAAUGUGUGGGCAGGUCGCCCGUGAAGAUAGACUAUUGGGAGAGUGUGGGUCGGUCGCCCGUGAAAAUAGACUAGAGUGAGUAUGUGUAGGCAGGUUGCCCAAGAUAAUGAAAUCAUUUUCC